CACUAGCGUGAAAAGCUAGGGGAUGACCUGUGGAUAGCGGAGAAAUUCCAAUCGAACUCGGAGAUAGCUGGUUCUCCCCGAAAUAGCUUUAGGGCUAGCCUUAGGUUAGUCUGACGGAGGUAAAGCACUGUAUUGGCUAGGGGCCCUACCAGGCUACCGAACCUUAACAAACUCAGAAUGCCGUCACGACGAUGCCUAGGAGUCAGACCGUGUGAGAUAAGUCUCACGGUCGAGAGGGAAAAAGCCCAGACCAUCAGCUAAGGUCCCUAAAUUACGGUUAAGUGGAAAAGGAUGUGGGCUCGCUAAGACAACUAGGAUGUUGGCUUAGAAGCAGCCACUCAUUCAAAGAGUGCGUAAUAGCUCACUAGUCGAGUGGGCCCGCGCCGAAGAUUACCGGGUCUGAAACCGUAUACCGAAGCUAUGGAUGCGCAUCGUUAGAUGCGCGUGGUAGGGGAGCGUGCCGCAGUAGGCUGAAGCGCCACCGUAAGGAGGCGUGGACGAAACGGCAGUGAGAAUGCCGGAAUGAGUAGCGAAAGUGAAGUGAGAAUCUUUACCAUCGAAAAUCCAAGGUUUCCUGGGCAAGGCUCGUCCUCCCAGGGUGAGUCGGGACCUAAGCCGAGGCCGAAAGGCGUAGGUGAUGGACAGCGCGUAGAAAUUCGCGCACCGCCGAUGUCCGUUUGAGAGAUGUGGGGACGCAGAAGGAUAGCAUGAGCCGGCCGCUGGAAGCGCCGGUCCAAGCGCCGGGGGCGCCGCGUAGGGAAAUCCGCGCGGCAUCAGCCUGAGGCGUGACGGGGAGGGAAAUACAAGUACCGAAGCAUGCGAGUCCACGCUGACGAGAAAAGCCACUAUCGAGGACAUAGGCGCCCGUACCGCAAACCGACACAGGUGGAUGAGGAGAGGAUCCUAAGAUGAGCGGAAGAAGCAUUGUUAAGGAACUCGGCAAAUUGGCCCCGUACGUUCGCAAUAAGGGGCGCUUGAGAGAUCAAGCCGCAGUGAAAUGGCCCAAGCAACUGUUUACCAAAAACACAGGUCUCUGCUAAAUCGAAAGAUGAGGUAUAGGGGCUGACGCCUGCCCAGUGCUGGAAGGUUACGGGGAUUCGUUAGCGAAAGCGAAGCGAUGAACUUAAGCCCCAGUAAACGGCGGCCGUAACUAUAACGGUCCUAAGGUAGCGAAAUUCCUUGUCAGGUAAGUUCUGACCCGCACGAAUGGCGUAAUGAUUUGGGCACUGUCUCAACAAUGUAUCCGGUGAAAUUGUAGUACUCGUGAAGAUGCGAGUUACCCGCGACUAGACGGAAAGACCCCAUGGAGCUUUACUGCAGCCUGAUAUUGGGUUCUGGCAUUUCUUGUACAGGAUAGGUGGGAGGCGUCGAUGCGUGUGCGCCAGCAUACGCGGAGCCGGCGUUGGGAUACCACCCUGGGAAUGCUGGGAUUCUAACCAGAGACCGUGAACCGGUCUUGGGACACUGUCAGGCGGGCAGUUUGACUGGGGCGGUCGCCUCCAAAAGAGUAACGGAGGCGUUCGAAGGUUGCCUCAGCACGGAAGGAAAUCGUGCGCAGAGUAUAAAGGCAGAAGGCAGCUUGACUGAAAGACAAACAGGUCGAUCAGGUACGAAAGUAGGACUUAGUGAUCCGGCGGUAUGAGAGUGGAAUUGCCGUCGCUCAACGGAUAAAAGUUACCCUGGGGAUAACAGGCUGAUUCCUCCCAAGAGUUCACAUCGACGGGGGAGUUUGGCACCUCGAUGUCGGCUCAUCACAUCCUGGGGCUGUAGCAGGUCCCAAGGGUUCGGCUGUUCGCCGAUUAAAGUGGUACGCGAGCUGGGUUCAGA
rnacentral:rRNA from 1 species